rnacentral:rRNA from 1 species
UAAACGACUCUCGGCAACGGAUAUCUCGGCUCUCGCAUCGAUAAAGAACGUAGCGAAAUGCGAUACUUGGUGUGAAUUGCAGAAUCCCGUGAACCAUCGAGUCUUUGAACGCAAGUUGCGCCCGAAGCCAUCAGGCCGAGGGCACGUCUGCCUGGGCGUCACGCAUCGCGUCGC